rnacentral:rRNA from 1 species
CAGCAGCCACGGUAAGACAGAGGAUGCAAGCGUUAUCCGGAAUGAUUGGGCGUAAAGCGUCUGUAGGUGGCUUUUCAAGUCCGCCGUCAAAUCCCAGGGCUCAACCCUGGACAGGCGGUGGAAACUACCAAGCUGGAGUACGGUAGGGGCAGAGGGAAUUUCCGGUGUAGCGGUGAAAUGCGUAGAGAUCUGGAGGAAUACCGGUGGCGAAGGCGGCCCCCUGGACAAAGACUGACGCUCAGGUGCGAAAGCGUGGGGAGCAAACAGGAUUAGAUACCCGAGUAGUCCCUGUCUCUUAUAC